AGCACUUUAUGUUUUGUUUUACUUGUGGACAAAGACUAGCAGGUGCAAAAAAUAAAUCCUCUUUUGCAAUACAGAACUCAUUGUUCACUAUGAAUUUUGAUACAUAUAAGAAGGAAUAUU
rnacentral:snoRNA from 1 species